rnacentral:rRNA from 1 species
GACGAACGCUGGCGGCGUGCUUAACACAUGCAAGUCGAACGGAAAGGCCCUGCUUUUGUGGGGUGCUCGAGUGGCGAACGGGUGAGUAACACGUGAGUAACCUGCCCUUGACUUUGGGAUAACUUCAGGAAACUGGGGCUAAUACCGGAUAGGAGCUCCUGCUGCAUGGUGGGGGUUGGAAAGUUUCGGCGGUUGGGGAUGGACUCGCGGCUUAUCAGCUUGUUGGUGGGGUAAGGGCUUACCAGGGCUUUGACGGGUAGCCGGCCUGAGAGGGUGCCCGGCUCCAUUGGCUCUUACUUAGGGCCCAGACGCCAACAGGAGGCGGAUGUGGGAAAAAUUGACGAAUGGCGGAAGCCUGAUGCAGCAACGCCGCGUGCGGGAUGACGGCCUUCGGGUUGUAAACCGCUUUCGCCUGUGACGAAGCGUGAGUGACGGUAAUGGGUAAAGAAGCACCGGCUAACUACGUG